GUCAGCAGCUACAUCACCCUGCAGCUCUCAACUGGCUACGCCCUGAAGCUCAGCAGGCUUGAGCCUGGUCAGUACCUGGAUGAGAGACCUCCUGGGAAGCUAUGGUUGCUGCUGGAA
rnacentral:rRNA from 1 species